ACGCUCGACACCUACGGGAGCAGCAGUGGGGGAUAUUGCACAAUGGGGGAAACCCUGAUGCAGCGACGCCGCGUGAAGGAAGAAGUAUCUCGGUAUGUAAACUUCUAUCAGCAGGGAAGAAAAUGACGGUACCUGACUAAGAAGCCCCGGCUAACUACGUGCCAGCAGCCGCGGUAAUCUGAGCGGGCUGGCAAGGC
rnacentral:rRNA from 1 species